rnacentral:rRNA from 1 species
GACGAACGCUGGCGGCGUGCUUAACACAUGCAAGUCGAACGGGCCUUGUCCCCUUUUUUUUUGGGGGUGGGGUUAGUGGCGAACGGGUGAGUAACACGUGAGUAACCUGCCCCUCACUUCUGGAUAACCGCUUGAAAGGGUGGCUAAUACGGGGUGUUCUGGCCUGCUCGCAUGGGUGGGUUUGGAAAGAUUCGACCGGUUUUGGUUGUUUUGGUGGGGGAUGGGCUCGCGGCCUAUCAGCUUGUUGGUGGGGUGAUGGCCUGCCAAGGCUUUGACGGGUAGCCGGCCUGAGAGGGUGGGCGGUCACACUGGGACUGAGACACGGCCCAGACUCCUACGGGCGGCAGCAGUGGGGAAUAUUGCACAAUGGGCGCAAGCCUGAUGCAGCGACGCCGCGUGAGGGAUGGAGGCCUUCGGGUUGUGAACCUCUUUCGCCAGUGAAGAAGGUCCUGCUCUUUGUGGUGGGGUUGACGGUAGCUGGGUUAAUGAAGCGCCGGCUAACUACGUG